UACGUAGGGGGCAAGCGUUGUCCGGAUUUAUUGGGCGUAAAGAGCGUGUAGGCGGCCAGACAGGUCUGCUGUGAAAACUCGAGGCUCAACCUCGAGACGCCGGUGGAAACCGUCUGGCUAGAGUCCGGAAGAGGCGAGUGGAAUUCCUGGUGUAGCGGUGAAAUGCGCAGAUAUCAGGAGGAACACCAAUAGCGAAGGCAGCUCGCUGGGACGGUACUGACGCUGAGACGCGAAAGCGUGGGGAGCAAACAGG
rnacentral:rRNA from 1 species